AGUCGAGCGAGUCUGCCUUGAAGAUCGGAGUGCUUGCACUCUGUGAAACAAUAUACAGGCUAGCGGCGGACGGGUGAGUAACACGUGGGUAACCUGCCCAAGAGAUCGGGAUAACACCUGGAAACAGAUGCUAAUACCGGAUAACAACAGAUGAUGCCUAUCAACUGUUUAAAAGAUGGUUCUGCUACCACUCUUGGAUGGACCUGCGGUGCAUUAGCUAGUUGGUAGGGUAACGGCCUACCAAGGCGAUGAUGCAUAGCCGAGUUGAGAGACUGAUCGGCCACAUUGGGACUGAGACACGGCCCAAACUCCUACGGGAGGCAGCAGUAGGGAAUCUUCCACAAUGGACGCAAGUCUGAUGGAGCAACGCCGCGUGAGUGAAGAAGGGUUUCGGCUCGUAAAGCUCUGUUGUUGGUGAAGAAGGACAGGGGUAGUAACUGACCUUUGUUUGACGGUAAUCAAUUAGAAAGUCACGGCUAACUACGUGCCAGCAGCCGCGGUAAUACGUAGGUGGCAAGCGUUGUCCGGAUUUAUUGGGCGUAAAGCGAGUGCAGGCGGCUCGAUAAGUCUGAUGUGAAAGCCUUCGGCUCAACCGGAGAAUUGCAUCAGAAACUGUCGAGCUUGAGUACAGAAGAGGAGAGUGGAACUCCAUGUGUAGCGGUGAAAUGCGUAGAUAUAUGGAAGAACACCGGUGGCGAAGGCGGCUCUCUGGUCUGUUACUGACGCUGAGGCUCGAAAGCAUGGGUAGCGAACAGGAUUAGAUACCCUGGUAGUCCAUGCCGUANACGAUGAGUGCUAAGUGUUGGGAGGUUUCCGCCUCUCAGUGCUGCAGCUAACGCAUUAAGCACUCCGCCUGGGGAGUACG
rnacentral:rRNA from 1 species